rnacentral:rRNA from 1 species
CGGCGGACGGGUGAGUAAUAGUUAUGAAUCCCCGCGGCUGUGGGGGAUAAUAUUCGGAAACGGAUGUUAAUACCGGAUACCCCCAAACGGGGAAAGCGGGGGAUCUUCGGACCUUUCGCUAUUGGAUGAGCCUACGUCGGAUUAGCUUGUUGGGGGGGUAAAAGCCUACCGAGGCGACGAUCGGGAGCUGGUCUGAAAGGACGAUCAGCCACCCUGGGACUGAGACACGGCCCAGACUCCUACGGGAGGCAGCAGUAGGGAAUAUUGGACAAUGGGCGAAAGCCGGAUCCACGACUGCCGCGUGUGUGAAGAAGGCCUGCGGGUUGUAAAGCACUUUCGGAAGAAAAGAAAAGCUCACGGUUAAUAACCGCGAGUCUUGACGUAACCUACAGAAGAAGCACCGGCUAACUCCGUGCCUGCAGCCGCGGUAAUACCGAGGGUGCGAGCGUUAAU